CAGACUACAGGCAUGUGCCGCCACCCCUGGCUAACUUUUAUAUUUUGGUAGAGACAGGGUUUCACCAUGUUGGCCAGGCUGGUCUCAGACUCCUGGCCUCAAGUGCUGGGCCUCCCAAAGUUCUGGGCCUCAGCUUCCCAGCUAGGAUUAUAGGCAUGAGCCACCAGGCCCAGACUGGCCCCAUUUCUUGAUGUUUGACUCCUGACAGCUUCUAGGCCUCACCCCUUGGUAUUCCUUUAUGCCCGCAUCUGGAUAAGCCAACAGGAAAGAUGGGGAGCCCCCUCCCUUGGCACUGGUGGGGGAGUCAAACCAUACGAGCCCUUCCCACACAUGGGAACUUUGACCCCACCCCAGCCCCACCCCUAACCACUAUAACAUCUUGGGCCAGUCUUCUUCCCUUGCUUUCUUAGGUCACAUUGGAUCUGCUUGUGAGGCCCACCUGCUCUCCCCAGAAGCCUGAAGUAUGUGACCAUAACAUAUGGCAAGAAAAGAAAGCCUUUGCAGAUAUGAUUAUGUUCUCAAGAUGGGGAGAUCGUCCUGGAUUGUUCAGAUGGACCCUGAAUGCAAUCACACAUCACACAUAUUCUGUUACGAGAUGAGGAGGGAGAUUUUAGGGCACACAGAGGAGAAAGAGAUAUGAAGACAGAGCAGAGGGAGAUCAAAAAAUGUUGACCCUAAAUAUUGGAGUGAUGUGGCCACAAGCCAAUGAAUGCUGGCAGUCACCAGAAGCUGAGAGACAAGGAACCGGUUUCCUUAUGGAGCCACCAAGGGAGGGUGACAGUGCUGACACCCUGAUUUUGGCCCAUUGAUACUGACUGCAGACUUCUGGCUUCCAUAAUUGUGAGAGAAUAAAUGUUUGUUGAUUGAAGGCAUUAAGUGCAUGGUGUUUUGCUACAGAAGUCCUAGGAAAGUACUACACUGUCAACUGAGGGCUGUUUUUCCCUUUCACACCCUGCACACUACUGGGCUGCCUCAAGCCCAUUUGCCCUGGUUCCUGCUAAAAGCUCCAGUUCCAUCAAGGCUCAUGUCAGGGGACUGGGCCUUCUGUCACUCUCCCUAGUCAUUUACCAUCCCCUUCAUCACGGGUGAUUCUUGUGUCUGGCUUGCUGUUUUUCUCACCAUCGCUAUUCCUGGUGAUUUUUCUACCCGUGUAAAUGAUCUGUCUUCGUCCAUUUUGGCUGCUGUAGCAAAAUACUGUAGAUUGGGUGGUUUAUGAACAACAGUAAUGUCUUCCUCACAGUUCUGGAGGCUGGAGAGUUUGAGAUCCAGGUGCCGGCAGGUGUGGUGUCUGGUGACAGCCCGCUACCUAGUUCACUGCACACUGCAUCCUCACGGUGGAGAGGAAAGAAGGCCCUAGGCUUUCUUGUAUAAGGCAUGAACUUCACUCACAAGGGUUCUGCCCUCAUGAUCCCGUCGCAUCCCAAAAGGCCCCGCCUCCUAAUGCCAUCACCUUGGAGAUGAGGGUUUCAACAUAGGAAUCUAGAGGGACACAAGCAUCCAGACCACAGCAGGUUUUACCAAUACCCAGGACUCUUGGUUCUUUGUCCUCUAUUCUGCUCAUCUAGCCUCUUCCAGUUUGUCUCUUGUGAUAACACGCUGGACUUUUUUUCAUAUCCAGACUCACUCUGUCUCCUCCAUAAUCUUUUCUUGCUGUCUCCUUCAGCGUUUUGGCCCCCAUUCUAAAUAUUUUGAACCCACAAAGCCCGCACUCUAUUAAUUGCACCCCUCCAGCUCUCAGUUCCUUCAUUUCCCAGCGUCAAUCUUACAUCAGUCAUUGUCACCACCCCCUUCUAUUUACUCUCGAUUACCUUGCCCUUUUUCCUGUGCCACAUCUGCCUAGUAAAACCACCACAAUGAUUACAUAUGGCCUGUGCCUGUUUGUGCUCACACCCAAGGACUUGGAAAUGAAUACAGAAAAACAUUAAACCUGCUGGUUGGCCUCACGUUAAAUAUACAGGAAUGAACUCAAGCAGGCACUCAGGACUGCCCAACAGUGUCACAAGAGUCAUUAAGUUCAUUUACUCUCCCUCCACCAAAGUGACUUUCACACCACCCCUUCUCAACUCUCCACCAUGCCCGCCCCGCACCUCUUUGCCUAACUGUGACUUGAUCCUUAUUUCACUGAGAAGUUUGAAAGCAAUCAGAAGAGAAUGUCUACAAAUUUCCACUAGCGAGGAAACCACUUCAGCUGCACUGGACCUGUGCGCUUUGCCUCUCCUCCUGGUAAAACAGGUGGAAAAGUGAAAAUCCAGUAGAAACCUAUAUCAGCCUGAUUCAACUCAUUCACAUUCAACUGUUACCUCUGAAAUGAGAAAAGGCUCUGCUAAUCUGUGAGGUGGAGCUCAUAGGAGUGUUGGCGAGACAGUGUUAACUGAUAUUGAUUCAGACUUAGAAGAGGAAGAGAGGAGGCCUGGGACAAAUCACCACAGGAGGAGGAAUGAGAAGGACAGCAUUUGUAAAUUACAUUUAAAUUCCUACUCUGUCUAUGGCUUUGGCUGCUCCCAGGAAAAAUGAUGGGGUGGAGCAGGGAUGGAGGGCAUAAAAAUAUGUUUUAAAGAGAAACUGAGUUCUUAGUAGUAUUGGCACACACACAGAAUACAUACUCCAGAGGCUAAAGAUUUGUUAAAAUAGUAUCAGACAUAUUCUUAAAACCUAUGGAGACCUAUUUAAACAUACAAAAACUAGAAACUAAACUUCCAUCCAUCAUGAAACCGAGAAGUGGCUGCAAUCCUAAACUGCGAAUUGUGAAAAAAUAUGUAUGAAAUAUAGUGAUAUUUGAUCAAAAGAGAAAAUGGAAAGCUGAUACAGCACAGAAUUGCUUUCAUAACGCAUUAUAAUUUUUCUGCAGCAUAAAUAAUUAACUUGGAAAAUUAUCAGGUGGAACAAAAAAAAAAGCGAAAAAGUAAAUAACAACCAGCUUUGAAACUUCUUACCAGAGUUAGCUGAUCUGCAACAAACACUGCUGAUGCUGUUACCACUACAACACACAGACACACAAAUACACACAGCCACAGCUGGCGGAGCUCACUGUGAGCCUAACUCACCUUGCCUGAAACAGGGACGGACACGGAAAGCUGAGGGGAGACGUGUCCUUAGCAAAGGUGGAGAGAAAAUGCUCUGAGACAACAUAUUCAAAAUCUGAAAGUGCCAACUCUUUCAGGUCACUGCCGUGGGUCAGCACGAAUUAUAGACCUAGAUUAGACUACCAUUCUGAGAAGAACAGUAUAAAGAAAUUAUGCAACUUGGAAUUAAUCUAUAUAGUAUGUGGUGUAUUAGUUUUAAUAUUGUAACUACGAGGUAUGAAAGAUAUUGCAUUUUGUUAUUUUCUUUAAAUUAAUUCUGCAUUAACCUGGCACCAAGUUUGCGUAUUGCAAAGCUAGCAGGAUAUUCUAGCUCAUUCUUGGCACUCUAUGAUCAAACCAAGUUCCUGCCCAUCAGGGAGGCCCCUCAUCCUCAGAUCUGAGUUCGUGCUAGUUAAGUAACUAAGACUGAGAUGUUUGUUUUCUUAGCCUUUGUGAUUCCUUAAAGGUUGCCAGUUCUGCCAUUUCCAUAGAUCUUUGGGAACCGAAAAUGGCUAGGCCUUGGGAGUAGCCACUUUUUUUUUUUUUUUUUUUUUUAAAGGCAGAGUCUCGAUCUCCAGGAUGGAGGGCAGUGUCACGAUCUCAGCUCACUGCAACCUCUGCCUCCCGGGUUCAAGUAAUUUAUCUUGUCUCAGCCUC
rnacentral:lncRNA from 10 species